rnacentral:rRNA from 1 species
CCUACGGGUGACAGCAGUGAGGAAUAUUGGUCAAUGGGCGCGAGCCUGAACCAGCCAAGUCGCGUGAGGGAAGACGGUCCUAUGGAUUGUAAACCUCUUUUGUCGGGGAGCAAAAGACGCCACGUGUGGCGUUCCGAGAGUACCCGAAGAAAAAGCAUCGGCCAACUCCGUGCCAGCAGCCGCGGUAAUACGGAGGAUGCGAGCGUUAUCCGGAUUUAUUGGGUUUAAAGGGUGCGCAGGCGGAAGAUCAAGUCAGCGGUAAAAUUGAGAGGCUCAACCUCUUCGAGCCGUUGAAACUGGUUUUCUUGAGUGAGCGAGAAGUAUGCGGAAUGCGUGGUGUAGCGGUGAAAUGCAUAGAUAUCACGCAGAACUCCGAUUGCGAAGGCAGCAUACCGGCGCUCAACUGACGCUCAUGCACGAAAGUGUGGGGAGCGAACAGGAUUAGAUACCCGGGUAGUC